GGGGAUUUAGCUCAGCAGCUUAAGCACCUGCCUUGAAAGUAGGUGGUCCUAAGUUCAAUCCCUG
rnacentral:tRNA from 1 species